rnacentral:rRNA from 1 species
CAGCACCUCAAGUGGUCAGGAUGAUUAUUGGGCCUAAAGCAUCCGUAGCUCGUUUUGUAAGUUUUCGGUUAAAUCCAUGCGCUUAACGUAUGGGCUGCCGGGAAUACUGCAUAACUAGGAAGUGGGAGAGGUAGACGGUACUCGGUAGGAAGGGGUAAAAUCCUUUGAUCUAUUGAUGACCACCUGUGGCGAAGGCGGUCUACCAGAACACGUUCGACAGUGAGGGAUGAAAGCUGGGGGAGCAAACCGGAUUAGAGACCCGAGUAGUCC